rnacentral:misc_RNA from 1 species
CAGCCACAAGCCAUGACACCAUCUGCAUAGAGAAAAAGAAGUUGAAAUAAUGUAAUAUAAUUUGCAAGAAAACAAAGAAUGUGCAGCAAGCAAAGCAAGCUAUACCAACAAAAACAGAGUUGAAGCGGAUGAUCAUCUACAUAAUGAGAAAGCAGGAAGAACAAAAGCAUAACAUGAUAAGAUAAAGUUAGAAAUUCUAAAUUAAAAACACGCUUCUUGAAAGGAAAGACGAAGAUCUAAUUACUAGGCUUCACCUUCGAUGAAGUUUUCAAACAAGAAUAAUCAGGCUGCCUAGAUAGACAGAAAAUUAACAACUCUAUUCACUAAGAUUUUACAGAUUCAACUUUAGCGUGGUUAUCGAAUUCAUCCAAGCACAAAAGAAAGUACUUACAAAAGCUAUCAGGUAGAAAUGCUGUCAGACUAUUUCAAUAGUGAUGCAUUUGCAACAUCACGCAUGUCAAAUAUAUUGAUGAAGUACAAAUCACUAGUUUGACUAGGGAUUAAUGCUGACAACUACCAAAGCCAUGACCAAGCACGAGUUACGCAGCACAUAGAUUUUUCACAAAGACCAGUGAAAAGCUUCAUCAGAGGAAAUUUACAACAGAUCAUCAAACCAUAGCACCAGAGGGCAGAAGGAAAAGAAUUUGUGCAAGUCUUAAGUGGCACAGCAGUUAUAAAUACUGCUAUAGAACAGGCAAUAGCCAUUCCACUCUCCAGAUUUCCUAAAUUCAUAGGACCCAGUUGCACGCUUCACAUCCUAUCAUAACAGGAGUUCUGUUGAACUGAAUCCACCAUGGGCAUUGAUAAAUCCUAAAACUAUGUCAUGAUAUAUAUUCAAUGAGAUACUAAAUUGAUCAGUGUUAACAAUGUAAAAAUAAUUGAUGCCAUCGCCUAUCUGAAUCCACAGGCUAAGGCUCCCUAGCUAAUAGGAUCAGGAUGUCAGCGUUACCGUAUAUAACUUAGUGAAACAAGAAGGAUGUCAUAGGAAACAAUCUGGCCAUUGACAAAAUUUGCAAGUAAAGCAUUUAGUUUUUCUUGGGAUUGUUGUGGUUUAAUAAUUUCCUCAAAUACCCAAAGCACUUGCAUUUUUUCCACAAGUUGCUUUUUUUAAAAAGCAUAUAAGUCAUACAAGUCAUUGUUAAUGUCAAUAAUGUGACUUGAAUGUUGAAACAAAGGUAUAUUACAACACAUGCAGGAUUUUUCUGUAUUACCCUGGUUUCCAAAAUUCUCAGACGAUGUAGACAAGAAGUUGUUAGCUUCUUCAAAUAUGUAAUUCUGAAUUCACAGUGCAUUAGGUUCUACACAAUUUAUGGUUAUAAGAUCUUCAAAAAAAAAAAGAAUGUACUUUAUGCCCAGUUACUUGACAGCAAUUUAAUGGUCAUCUAGAGAUUCAUAAACAAAAUAACAAUUAUGGGAAUCAUCAACAUACCUUGAGAACAAUACCAAUUUUGAA